UAAAAGGUAGCUUAAAUUUAAAGCAAAGCUUUGAAGGGGCUUUUAUGGACACCCUCUUUUAA
rnacentral:tRNA from 1 species